CGAACAAGGUCUCCGUAGGUGAACCUGCGGAGGGAUCAUUACACAAAUAUGAAGGCGGGCUGGAACCUCUCGGGGUUACAGCCUUGCUGAAUUAUUCACCCUUGUCUUUUGCGUACUUCUUGUUUCCUUGGUGGGUUCGCCCACCACUAGGACAAACAUAAACCUUUUGUAAUUGCAAUCAGCGUCAGUAACAAAUUAAUAAUUACAACUUUCAACAACGGAUCUCUUGGUUCUGGCAUCGAUGAAGAACGCAGCGAAAUGCGAUAAGUAGUGUGAAUUGCAGAAUUCAGUGAAUCAUCGAAUCUUUGAACGCACAUUGCGCCCUUUGGUAUUCCAAAGGGCAUGCCUGUUCGAGCGUCAUUUGUACCCUCAAGCUUUGCUUGGUGUUGGGCGUCUUGUCUCUAGCUUUGCUGGAGACUCGCCUUAAAGUAAUUGGCAGCCGGCCUACUGGUUUCGGAGCGCAGCACAAGUCGCACUCUCUAUCAGCAAAGGUCUAGCAUCCACUAAGCCUUUUUUUCAACUUUGACCUCGGAUCAGGUAGCUGCUGU
rnacentral:rRNA from 1 species